UGCCUUGUCUCUUGUAGGCACAACUCUGCAUGAGUGUGUCAGUUGUUACAAGGCAAAAUUAAAAGUACAGGUUUUGCUUCCAUCAUGCUAAAUAUUCUGUUGCAGUGAUGACAAUGAGACCUGUCACAUGU